UACGAAGGGGGCUAGCGUUGCUCGGAUUGACUGGGCGUAAAGGGCGCGUAGGCGGUUCGUACAGUCAGACGUGAAAUUCCUGGGCUCAACCUGGGGGCUGCGUUUGAUACGUGCGGACUUGAGUGCGGAAGAGGGUCGUGGAAUUCCCAGUGUAGAGGUGAAAUUCGUAGAUAUUGGGAAGAACACCGGUGGCGAAAGCGGCUUCCUGGUCCAGUACCGACGUUCAGGCACGAAAGCGUGGGGAGCAAACAGG
rnacentral:rRNA from 1 species